AUGGAAGAAUUCACACAAUUAAGCAAGGCAAAUGAAAAACGCAAAGGAGACAAUAAACCUUUUGUGAUUCAAACGCUCCACAAGUCGGCAGUUCCAGAAGAUGAGCUUUUCUCUGAACAUUUUAGUGAAGCAGGGUGCACGAAAGGUAGUAGAGUGAUGAGCGAAGGAUUAGUAGAAGGAUUGAAAGAAAUUGAAGAUAAUGGUAAUCUUGGAGAUGUGUGUGAAGUGUAG